UUACGGCCACAUCACAUUGAAACUCCAGCUUCCGUACGAUCACCAAAGUUAAGCAACGUCGAGCCUGAUCAGUAACAAGAUGUCUGACUACUUGAGAAUACCAGGUAUUGUAAG